rnacentral:rRNA from 1 species
GACGAACCGUGCGAACGUUAUUCGGAAUCACUGGGCUUAAAGGGCGCGUAGGCGGGCAGGCGAGUCCGGGGUGAAAUCCCACGGCCCAACCGUGGAAGUGCCCCGGAUACCGCCUGCCUCGAGGGAGGUAGGGGCGUGUGGAACUUCCGGUGGAGCGGUGAAAUGCGUAGAUAUCGGGAGGAACACCCGUAGCGAAGGCGGCACUCUGGGCCGGUACUGACGCUGAGGAGCGGAAAGCGUGGGGAGCGAACGGG